rnacentral:other from 1 species
AAUCGCCUGCUUUGUGCGCCUAGCUGAUGUAGUCCUUGAGCCGAUAAAUUUUAUCUCUGGGAGUUCUUGUUAAUUAAUGGUGUGCAAGUCCGGCUCGUAUCGGAAAGCCUGAUUUGAUUACGGAAUUCCCCCCUGAACCUCCGGGUUCAUGGGCGAGACCAGCAAACGGCAAAGCGGGUGAUGG